rnacentral:lncRNA from 1 species
UCCAGAACAACUACUCAAGGACAUGUCUGAAUGAGUCACUGAACCAUGGCUCUGUGAGGUCAAAGAUAGUGAGACAAAAAGGAAUUGCUCAAAUACUGAGAUGCAUGUCAACUCUUCCAACAACCUCCAGAAUUUACUGAGCCUGUAACACAGCUUUUGUAAUCCUUUUCUGUGACAGAUUAAAGCAAACAGCCAAAAACAAGGACAAAGUCCAAGGUGUCCAAAAGAAAGACUCAGGAGACAAGACAGAAAUUUUGGUGACUGGGGGAUUACUCACCAGAAGACAUUGAUGAACAUUUC